CGCAAGCGUUGUCCGGAAUUAUUGGGCGUAAAGAGCUCGUAGGCGGUCUGUUGCGUCCGCUGUGAAAACUCGGGGCUUAACCCCGAGCCUGCAGUGGAUACGGGCAGACUAGAGGUAGGUAGGGGAGAAUGGAAUUCCCGGUGUAGCGGUGAAAUGCGCAGAUAUCGGGAGGAACACCGGUGGCGAAGGCGGUUCUCUGGGCCUUACCUGACGCUGAGGAGCGAAAGCGUGGGGAGCGAACAGG
rnacentral:rRNA from 1 species